CCUACGGGCGGCAGCAGUGGGGAAUAUUGCACAAUGGGGGAAACCCUGAUGCGGCGACGCCGCGUGAGUGAAGAAGUAUUUCGGUACGUAAAGCUCUAUCAGCAGGGAAGAAAAUGACGGUACCUGACUAAGAAGCCCCGGCUAACUACGUGCCAGCAGCCGCGGUAAUACGUAGGGGGCAAGCGUUAUCCGGAUUUACUGGGUGUAAAGGGAGCGUAGACGGCAGCGCAAGUCUGGAGUGAAAUCCCAUGGCUUAACCAUGGAACUGCUUUGGAAACUGUGCAGCUAGAGUGCAGGAGAGGUAAGCGGAAUUCCUAGUGUAGCGGUGAAAUGCGUAGAUAUUAGGAGGAACACCAGUGGCGAAGGCGGCUUACUGGACUGUAACUGACGUUGAGGCUCGAAAGCGUGGGGAGCAAACAGGAUUAGAUACCCCAGUAGUC
rnacentral:rRNA from 1 species